AGAACGAACGCUGGCGGCAGGCUUAACACAUGCAAGUCGAACGCUCGUAGCAAUACGGGAGUGGCAGACGGGAGAGUAACACGUGGGAACGCGCCCUUCGGUUCGGAAUAACUCAGGGAAACUUGAGCUAAUACCGGAUACGCCCUUACGGGGAAAGAUUUAUUGCCGAAGGAACGGCCCGCGUCCGAUUAGCUAGUUGGUGAGGUAACGGCUCACCAAGGCGACGAUCGGUAGCUGGUCUGAGAGGAUGACCAGCCUCACUGGGACUGAGACACGGCCCAGACUCCUACGGGAGGCAGCAGUGGGGAAUAUUGGACAAUGGGCGCAAGCCUGAUCCAGCCAUGCCGCGUGGAUGAUGAAGGCCUUAGGGUUGUAAAGUCCUUUUAACGGGGAAGAUAAUGACGGUACCGUAGAAUAAGCCCCGGCUAACUUCGUGCCAGCAGCCGC
rnacentral:rRNA from 1 species